rnacentral:other from 12 species
UUCACGCAGAAACCGUCUAGCCAUGGCGUUAGUAUGAGUGUCGGGCAGCCUCCAGGACCCCCCCUCCCGGGAGAGCCAUAGUGGUCUGCGGAACCGGUGAGUACACCGGAAUUGUCAAAGUCGACCGAAUCCUUUGUUUUAUCAAACCCCUCGAUGCCUGGAGAUUUGGGCGUGCCCCCGCGAGCACUGUUAGCCGAGUAAUGUUGGGUCCCGUAAAGGCCUUGAGGUACUGCCUGAUAGGGUGCUCGAGA